UGCAGAAAGGCUGGGAAGCCUCUUGGUUACAAAGAAUGUCAGUUUCACAGAGUCAUCAAGGACUUCAUGAUUCAAAGUGGUGAUUUUCUUAAGCAUUUGAACAACUCAUGGCUCCCUCUCACAACAUUCCACUUCGUAGUCUCACCUCCACUGAUGAAUCCAAACUUGACUUAAAUGCUCUGUCUUUGAGCGUUUCCUUCCAUGGGUGAGAGAGGCGAACUCAGCUUUCAAGUCUUGGGCUAUAAAAAUGUCAUCUUUACACAGACCCACAUGGAGAAAAGCUGGGAUCUUCGAAGCAGUCAUGGCAUCUACCAAAGGACUCAACAAAGACACAAAGAAACCAAUAGCUACUGGUUAGUUCAAUAUCAUUGAUCAAUUUGAAGUUUUUUUGAUUGUGCAUUGUGGUAAAGUUUGUUGUAAUGAAAGUGUUAUAAUUUUUUUUUAAGAACCCAUAAUUAAGAAACUUGCAAUAAACCACUUAAAUGUUUAACUU